rnacentral:rRNA from 1 species
CCCAGUAAACGGCGGCCGUAACUAUAACGGUCCUAAGGUAGCGAAAUUCCUUGUCGGGUAAGUUCCGACCUGCACGAAUGGCGUAAUGAUGGCCAGGCUGUCUCCACCCGAGACUCAGUGAAAUUGAACUCGCUGUGAAGAUGCAGUGUACCCGCGGCAAGACGGAAAGACCCCGUGAACCUUUACUAUAGCUUGACACUGAACAUUGAGCCUUGAUGUGUAGGAUAGGUGGGAGGCUUUGAAGUGUGGACGCCAGUCUGCAUGGAGCCGACCUUGAAAUACCACCCUUUAAUGUUUGAUGUUCUAACGUUGGCCCCUAAUCGGGGUUGCGGACAGUGUCUGGUGGGUAGUUUGACUGGGGCGGUCUCCUCCUAAAGAGUAACGGAGGAGCACGAAGGUUGGCUAAUCCUGGUCGGACAUCAGGAGGUUAGUGCAAUGGCAUAAGCCAGCUUGACUGCGAGCGUGACGGCGCGAGCAGGUGCGAAAGCAGGUCAUAGUGAUCCGGUGGUUCUGAAUGGAAGGGCCAUCGCUCAACGGAUAAAAGGUACUCCGGGGAUAACAGGCUGAUACCGCCCAAGAGUUCAUAUCGACGGCGGUGUUUGGCACCUCGAUGUCGGCUCAUCACAUCCUGGGGCUGAAGUAGGUCCCAAGGGUAUGGCUGUUCGCCAUUUAAAGUGGUACGCGAGCUGGGUUUAGAACGUCGUGAGACAGUUCGGUCCCUAUCUGCCGUGGGCGCUGGAGAACUGAGGGGGGCUGCUCCUAGUACGAGAGGACCGGAGUGGACGCAUCACUGGUGUUCGGGUUGUCAUGCCAAUGGCACUGCCCGGUAGCUAAAUGCGGAAGAGAUAAGUGCUGAAAGCAUCUAAGCACGAAACUUGCCCCGAGAUGAGUUCUCCCUGACUCCCUGAGAGUCCUGAAGGAACGUUGAAGACGACGACGUUGAUAGGCCGGGUGUGUAAGCGCAGCGAUGCGUUGAGCUAACCGGUACUAAUGAACCGUGAGGCUUAACCUU